rnacentral:rRNA from 1 species
UACGGAGGGGGCGAGCGUUAUUCGGAAUUAUUGGGCGUAAAGGGCGCGUAGGCGGCUCUUUAAGUCAAAGGUGAAAUCCCUCGGCUCAACUGAGGAACUGCCUUUGAAACUGAGGAGCUUGAGUCCGGGAGGGGGUAGCGGAAUUCCCAGUGUAGCGGUGAAAUGCGUAGAGAUCAGGCAGAACACCUGGGGCGAAGGCGGCCAGCUGGGCCGUCCCUGACGCUGAGGCGCGAAGGCGUGGGGAGCGAACGGG